UUUUUCAUCUACAAAAAAGUGUAUGGAAAAUACUAAAGUAGGUUUAAUCAGCAGCCUGUGUGAUUUAUUUAGCUCUUAAGUUUGACAAACCGCUUGAGUCGAUCGGCAUUCCGUGUUAAUCCUCAAUAAAUAUACAAGAUGGAAGUAACACAAUUAUCCAUUAGCCGUAAGAAGCGGGUACCCAUUGCUGUGUAUGCCCUGGGAUCGUCCUCUGAGUACCGCAGUGUAGGCAAUAUGUUCGGAAUUGGAAAAUCGACUUAAUGCUUAAUCGUGUUAGAGUUUUGCAAGCAAGCAUGGAUUGUAUUACAUCCUAUUUACCUUAGUCACAUCCUUUUCAGUAAAGACAAGAUACGAGAGUGUAUGUCUGGGUUCAACCAAAUUGGGUUUCCUCAAUGCAUUGGUGCAAUUGUUUUCUAAGAUGGUUGUGAAGAGGGUGUCCAGAUUGUUAAAAAAAAGCGCAAUUUCUGAAAAAAAACGCCAAAAGACGCCAAUUUUUUUAAAAUAAAAUUCAUGAAACCGAUUUUACAUAUCUUUUAUUUUAAAAAUGAGAUCUUGUUAUAAUAUAGUUUUUAAAACCAAAAACGAAUAUAAUACCUUCAGAGGG